rnacentral:rRNA from 1 species
UACGGGGGGAGCAAGCGUUGUUCGGAUUUACUGGGCGUAAAGGGCGCGUAGGCGGUCAGCACAAGUCAGUUGUGAAAUCUCCGGGCUUAACUCGGAAAGGUCAACUGAUACUGUGCGACUAGAGUGCGGAAGGGGCAACUGGAAUUCUCGGUGUAGCGGUGAAAUGCGUAGAUAUCGAGAGGAACACCGGUGGCGAAGGCGGAUCUCUGGGCCUUACCUGACGCUCAGGUGCGAAAGCUAGGGGAGCGAACAGG